UUAGUUAUACCAAUUAGGAUUAGCAAUGGAAAAGGAAAUUUACCUUAUGAGUUUCAAUUCUGUUAAGCAAUUUCGAGACGGCUUUACGAACCUUGUCAGAUAUAUGAUAAAGUCCAAAUGCAAUUACAGAUAAGCCUCCUGAGUGAAGGGGGCAAUUAGACAAUAAAUAAUUUACAUCUUCUUCCGUUCGAAUGUGUGACUCAAGAGCAAGAAAUAUUUCGGCAGCAUCUGUUGUAGAGAGAGACGAGUUCCUUAGUCUAUCCAGGUGAAACUGAAUAUCCAUACAACGAAGUACAGGGGUGCUUGCACAAUGAAGCCGAUAGCAAUAGUCUUUAUACGUGGAUGCUUGUCUCCAAGCUUCAAACUUUGGGGCUAAAUAAAGAAGUUCAUUAACCUUUUCAUCGUCAUUAUCCCAACUCCACCCAAAUCCUUUAAACUUGUAAUCCUUAU